CCUACGGGAGGCAGCAGUGGGGAAUAUUGGACAAUGGGCGCAAGCCUGAUCCAGCCAUGCCGCGUGAGUGAUGAAGGCCUUAGGGUUGUAAAGCUCUUUCACCGGGGAAGAUAAUGACGGUAUCCGGAGAAGAAGCCCCGGCUCACUUCGUGCCAGCAGCCGCGGUAAU
rnacentral:rRNA from 1 species